rnacentral:rRNA from 1 species
AGCGUACACGGUGGAUGCCCUGGCAGUCAGAGGCGAUGAAGGACGUGCUAAUCUGCGAAAAGCGCCGGCGAGGUGAUAUGAACCUUUGACCCGGCGAUGUCCGAAUGGGGAAACCCAGUGUGAUUCGUCACACUAUCGUUAACUGAAUACAUAGGUUAACGAGGCGAACCGGGGGAACUGAAACAUCUAAGUACCCCGAGGAAAAGAAAUCAACCGAGAUUCCCCCAGUAGCGGCGAGCGAACGGGGAGCAGCCCAGAGUCUGAAUCAGCUUGUGUGUUAGUGGAACGGUCUGGAAAGUCCGACGGUACAGGGUGAUAGUCCCGUACACGAAAAUGCACAGGUUGUGAACUCGAAGAGUAGGGCGGGACACGUGGUAUCCUGUCUGAAUAUGGGGGGACCAUCCUCCAAGGCUAAAUACUCCUGACUGACCGAUAGUGAACCAGUACCGUGAGGGAAAGGCGAAAAGAACCCCGGCGAGGGGAGUGAAAAAGAACCUGAAACCGUGUACGUACAAGCAGUGGGAGCACCUUCGGGUGUGACUGCGUACCUUUUGUAUAAUGGGUCAGCGACUUAUAUUCUGUAGCAAGGUUAACCGUAUAGGGGAGCCGAAGGGAAACCGAGUCUUAACUGGGCGUUAAGUUGCAGGGUAUAGACCCGAAACCCGGUGAUCUAGCCAUGGGCAGGUUGAAGGUUGGGUAACACUAACUGGAGGACCGAACCGACUAAUGUUGAAAAAUUAGCGGAUGACUUGUGGCUGGGGGUGAAAGGCCAAUCAAACCGGGAGAUAGCUGGUUCUCCCCGAAAGCUAUUUAGGUAGCGCCUCGUGAACUCAUCUUCGGGGUAGAGCACUGUUUCGGCUAGGGGGCCAUCCCGGCUUACCAACCCGAUGCAAACUACGAAUACCGAAGAAUGUUAUCACGGGAGACACACGGCGGGUGCUAACGUCCGUCGUGAAGAGGGAAACAACCCAGACCGCCAGCUAAGGUCCCAAAGUCAUGGUUAAGUGGGAAACGAUGUGGGAAGGCACAGACAGCCAGGAUGUUGGCUUAGAAGCAGCCAUCAUUUAAAGAAAGCGUAAUAGCUCACUGGUCGAGUCGGCCUGCGCGGAAGAUGUAACGGGGCUAAACCAUGCACCGAAGCUGCGGCAGCGACACUAUGUGUUGUUGGGUAGGGGAGCGUUCUGUAAGCCGUUGAAGGUGGCCUGUGAGGGUUGCUGGAGGUAUCAGAAGUGCGAAUGCUGACAUAAGUAACGAUAAAGCGGGUGAAAAGCCCGCUCGCCGGAAGACCAAGGGUUCCUGUCCAACGUUAAUCGGGGCAGGGUGAGUCGACCCCUAAGGCGAGGCCGAAAGGCGUAGUCGAUGGGAAACAGGUUAAUAUUCCUGUACUUGGUGUUACUGCGAAGGGGGGACGGAGAAGGCUAUGUUAGCCGGGCGACGGUUGUCCCGGUUUAAGCAUGUAGGCGGAGGUUCCAGGUAAAUCCGGUACCUUUUAACGCUGAGGUGUGAUGACGAGGCACUACGGUGCUGAAGUAACAAAUGCCCUGCUUCCAGGAAAAGCCUCUAAGCAUCAGGUAACAUCAAAUCGUACCCCAAACCGACACAGGUGGUCAGGUAGAGAAUACCAAGGCGCUUGAGAGAACUCGGGUGAAGGAACUAGGCAAAAUGGUGCCGUAACUUCGGGAGAAGGCACGCUGAUAUGUAGGUGAAGCCCCUGCGGGUGGAGCUAAAAUCAGUCGAAGAUACCAGCUGGCUGCAACUGUUUAUUAAAAACACAGCACUGUGCAAACACGAAAGUGGACGUAUACGGUGUGACGCCUGCCCGGUGCCGGAAGGUUAAUUGAUGGGGUUAGCGGCAACGCGAAGCUCUUGAUCGAAGCCCCGGUAAACGGCGGCCGUAACUAUAACGGUCCUAAGGUAGCGAAAUUCCUUGUCGGGUAAGUUCCGACCUGCACGAAUGGCGUAAUGAUGGCCAGGCUGUCUCCACCCGAGACUCAGUGAAAUUGAACUCGCUGUGAAGAUGCAGUGUACCCGCGGCAAGACGGAAAGACCCCGUGAACCUUUACUAUAGCUUGACACUGAACACUGGUCCUUGAUGUGUAGGAUAGGUGGGAGGCUUUGAAGUGUGGACGCCAGUCUGCAUGGAGCCGUCCUUGAAAUACCACCCUUUAAUGGCUGGUGUUCUAACGUAGACCCGUGAUCCGGGUUGCGGACAGUGUCUGGUGGGUAGUUUGACUGGGGCGGUCUCCUCCCAAAGAGUAACGGAGGAGCACGAAGGUUAGCUAAUCCUGGUCGGACAUCAGGAGGUUAGUGCAAUGGCAUAAGCUAGCUUGACUGCGAGAGUGACGGCUCGAGCAGGUGCGAAAGCAGGUCAUAGUGAUCCGGUGGUUCUGAAUGGAAGGGCCAUCGCUCAACGGAUAAAAGGUACUCCGGGGAUAACAGGCUGAUACCGCCCAAGAGUUCAUAUCGACGGCGGUGUUUGGCACCUCGAUGUCGGCUCAUCACAUCCUGGGGCUGAAGUAGGUCCCAAGGGUAUGGCUGUUCGCCAUUUAAAGUGGUACGCGAGCUGGGUUUAGAACGUCGUGAGACAGUUCGGUCCCUAUCUGCCGUGGGCGCUGGAGAAUUGAGGGGGGCUGCUCCUAGUACGAGAGGACCGGAGUGGACGCAUCACUGGUGUUCGGGUUGUCAUGCCAAUGGCACUGCCCGGUAGCUAAAUGCGGAAGAGAUAAGUGCUGAAAGCAUCUAAGCACGAAACUUGCCCCGAGAUGAGUUCU